AUGUUCAAUUCUCACAAUAUGCUUUCAACUGACAGUGCCCUUUCCUGGUCACGUGGGAGCCUUGUGACUCCUGGCAGGAGCAUGGAAUGAGGUGACCCCAUCUUUUUACAGGAGGCAUUGGGCAGUCCCAUCACGGGUAAUGAUCAACAAGGAGUUUGGUCCCUUCGCAUUGGUGGGAGCAUACUUCUACAAAGCAUUCACUCCAGCCUGGGGUUCCUGAGAGAUGCUCACGAAUGUGCUGUGCGUGCGUCACCAUCCCUAGAGGAAAGUAUCCUGGUCUCCUCCUUGGUGGUUUGAUCCUGGGAGCAGGGUCUGCCUUUCAGGAAGGCCUUCCACAAGUCUGACCCAAAUCCCGGUGGACAGAUGGAGCUGUUUCCUCCUCGCAUCUCCUGGGCAGGGUCUUCCUGGGCAGCCUGGCUCCCAGCUGGCUGCUCUGUUCUCCUAUACAACAGUGUGAGCACACUGGGAGGAAGGGAGCAUUCCUCUCCUCUCCUUGUUGGAAGCUUCUUGCAGAAAAGAGGAGAAAGACUAAGGAAAGUCUGAAGAAUCACUUCUGGUGUGUUCACUGAGAGCUGGGGGUG